CAGUAGCCACGGGAAUACGAAGGGGGCUAGCGUUGCUCGGAAUUACUGGGCGUAAAGGGAGCGUAGGCGGACUGUUUAGUCAGAGGUGAAAGCCCAGGGCUCAACCUUGGAAUUGCCUUUGAUACUGGCAGUCUUGAGUACGGAAGAGGUAUGUGGAACUCCGAGUGUAGAGGUGAAAUUCGUAGAUAUUCGGAAGAACACCAGUGGCGAAGGCGACAUACUGGUCCGUUACUGACGCUGAGGCUCGAAAGCGUGGGGAGCAAACAGGAUUAGAGACCCCUGUAGUCCCUGUCUCUUAUAC
rnacentral:rRNA from 1 species